UGGGGAAUCUUGCGCAAUGGGCGAAAGCCUGACGCAGCAACGCCGCGUGGGGGAUGAAGGCCUUCGGGUUGUAAACCCCUUUCAGCAGGGACGAAAAUGACGGUACCUGCAGAAGAAGCCCCGGCCAACUACGUGCCAGCAGCCGCGGUAAUACGUAGGGGGCGAGCGUUGUCCGGAUUUAUUGGGCGUAAAGAGCUCGUAGGCGGCUUGGCAAGUCGGGUGUGAAACCUCCAGGCUCAACCUGGAGACGCCACUCGAUACUGCUAUGGCUAGAGUCCGGUAGGGGACCACGGAAUUCCUGGUGUAGCGGUGAAAUGCGCAGAUAUCAGGAGGAACACCGGUGGCGAAGGCGGUGGUCUGGGCCGGCACUGACGCUGAGGAGCGAAAGCGUGGGUAGCAAAC
rnacentral:rRNA from 1 species